rnacentral:ncRNA from 1 species
GUGUCCAUAGAAAGGAGAGAUGGUUGGCAUCUUUCCUGAUGGGAUGAGAGCAACCUUCGGACUUUACCUGUUUACUAUUUUGU